AAUGAACGCUGGCGGCAGGCCUAACACAUGCAAGUCGAACGGAUCCUUCGGGAUUAGUGGCGGACGGGUGAGUAACGCGUGGGAACAUACCCUUUGGUACGGAAUAGCCUCGGGAAACUGGGGGUAAUACCGUAUGUGGUCGAGAGACGAAAGAUUUAUCGCCAAAGGAUUGGCCCGCGUUGGAUUAGGUAGUUGGUGGGGUAAUGGCCUACCAAGCCGACGAUCCAUAGCUGGUUUGAGAGGAUGAUCAGCCACACUGGGACUGAGGACACGGCCCAGACUCCUACGGGAGGCAGCAGUGGGGAAUCUUAGACAAUGGGGGAAACCCUGAUCUAGCCAUGCCGCGUGAUCGAUGAAGGCCUUAGGGUUGUAAAGAUCUUUCAGGUGGGAAGAUAAUGACUGUACCACCAGAAGAAGCCCCGGCUAACUCCGUGCCAGCCGCCGCGGUAA
rnacentral:rRNA from 1 species